ACCUCCUGGCAAUAGGCAAAGACACACCUUGUUGGUGAUGUUGUUCUUGUAUCAACCAGGGGCAGAGCAGACAGCAGCCCUUGUUCAUCCUAGCUUGAUGUCUGGUUUGGUUCGCCAAUGCUGUCUUAUGCCUAGCACUCAUAA